rnacentral:tRNA from 1 species
GCUCCCAUAGCUCAGUGGAUAGAGCACUUGUUUCCUAAACCAGGGGUCGCACGUUCGAGUCGUGCUGGGAGCGCCA